GAUUUUGAAGUCUUAAUAUUUUCUCUUUUAAAUAAAGACUUAGGGAUGCAUUUCCCCAGGUUUAAAAGAAAAGCAACAACAUUGGAAAACAACAAUAUUCCAUCCUUCUACCAUCACCAGACUGCAACCUCUCUGUGUCAUCCCAGGAGCCUCCUGAGCAGAUUUACCCAAUGCUGGUGUGGUGCUGAAGCCUGAGCAAUGAUCCUGUGUGUCUUCUGUCAUGUGACAAAGCUACAGCUGUCAGCAAGAGGACUGGAAGAAUGAAUCCUGUUCCCUGAAAUGCAGCUGGAGAACGAGGGCAGAUCAGGCCACCCUGGACCUCAGGAGAUUGAUAGUGUUGGCAGCUGAGGAUCUAAUUAUGGAUUAUUUGGGUCGGACUCUUUUAUCCCAGGAUGAAGAACGGAGCUAAAUCCAGUAGACCUUGUUUUGGCAAAACUCCCGCUGAAGUCAGGGAGGGUUUUGUGAAAGGAAGGCCAGCGUGGUUUGUCUCCCAGUUCCUGCUGAUUAUUUGGGACAUGUUUGCUCCCUCUCCAAGCCCUCAGAGCUGCUCACCCAGGGUGACACCACCACGGGAAUCAGGGAAAUCGGU